AAUCAACGCUGGCGGCGUGCCUAACACAUGCAAGUCGAACGCGAGAGUCCCGCAAGGGACAAUUGAGUGGCAAACGGGUGAGUAACACGUGGGUGACCUGCCUUCGAGUGGGGGAUAACGUCCCGAAAGGGACGCUAAUACCGCAUGACAUCCUGCCUUUGGACAGGCGGAGAUCAAAGCCGGGGAUCGCAAGACCUGGCGCUUGAAGAGGGGCCCGCGUCUGAUUAGC
rnacentral:rRNA from 1 species